UACUCCUUCACCCACUCUAUCAUUUUCUCUCUUUCUCAUUAUAGCAAUGUUCUUCGCACACUUACUUAGAUUUGGACAGAAUUUAUAUAACUAAUUUAUAUACAUUUAUAUACAUUAAUGCUUUACUGCAGAAUCAACCUCUCUCUUUUGAGGUCACUGGUAGUUAGAGCUGUCAAUUAUUUUUUAAGCCCUAAGCUAACCCUGGCCUUGUAGAGAACAAGUGUCUGAAGCAUGCUUCUACCAUUGAUAUUCUGGUCUUUGACAAGUUAAUCCAUCUGGAAAUUUCAUUUGGAAGCUAUUCUGGAAAUUUCAUUUGGAAGCUAAUGAAAGGAAGAACAUUGGUCUGAGAUAGAAAAAAGUAAGCAAGGAGGUUGGACAAAAUCAGUGUAGAUCUAGAUAUUUGGAGACCCCUUAGAUCCUAUAGAGGAGUUGGAACUACUGGAGUUGAGAUUGCAAGGGAGGUGUUGGAUGCAACUGCUAGGAUUAUUAAGCCUGCUGUGACGACUGAUGAGAUUGAUAGAGUUGUUAAAGAGGCAACUAUUGUUACUGGCUAUAAGCGUGGAGUCUCGCCCUACAAGAAAGCUAAGAGAAAUGUCAGUCUCGCCCUACAAGAAAGUUAAGAGAAAUGUAGUCUCAAGAAAGUUAAGAGAAAUGUCAGUCUCGCCCUACAAGAAAGUUAAGAGAAAUGUCAGUCUCGCCUUACAAGAAAGCUAAGAGAAAUGAUACUACAAUUACAAGGUAAAAUUUUAUUUUCUUUAAUCCUUACAAUUUUUUUUUUUAAAAUAGAUUAUGUUAUAUUGUUACUAUGAAGUAAAAGUUUUUGAAAUUUUAAGAAUAUAUAUUUUUUCUAAAUAUGUGAAAAAUACAUUAUUAUUUAUUUAAAUAUUUGUUGUACCUAAUAUUUUGUCAUGAAAGAAAGAUUUGAAAAGAUUAUAUAUAAAUUUGCGAGUUACUAGAACAUUCUCGACUGGAACAAAUGAAAGCACUAUAUCCUGGUCAAGAAAUGAUGCAUGAUGCCUGCAGAGAUAAGUCCAGUAUUGUUGUUCAUGGGAGGAGGCAUGAGUGAGACAUGAGUGUUGGAAAAAGCACCAUCCGUGUAUCUUAUGCAAAAUAAAAAAAGUGGGUAAGAAUAACAAAUAAAAUGAUGAUGUAACGAUCCCAUCUAUAGUAUAUAAAACAAUCAUGAAUGUAUUUUUAGACAUAUUCAAGAUGCUUUUUUAGACAUAUAAUGUCUACCUAUAACAUUAAACAUACUUAAGAAAUUACAUUCUUGUAAAUAAAAUUCAUUGAUGUAGUUGCUUCCUGAGUGGAUUUUAUUUACAAAUUCUUACAUAUGCUUAAUGUUAUAGUAUAAUAAAGUAGAUAUUAUAUGUCUAAAAAUGCAUCCAGAUUCAUGAUUAUUUUAUAUACUAUAUAUGAGGUCAUUACACCAUAAUUUUAUUUGUUAUUUUUACACUUUUUUUUUAUUUUGCAUGAGAUAAAUUUUAUAAAACCAUCUAUCGAGGUUUAUUCUUUAAGGAUGGUGUCACGGAAGGUGAUUUUUCCAACACCCAUGCCUCCUCCCAUGAAUAACAAUACUGGACUUCUCUCUACAUGUACCAUUUCUUUGACAACUUUUCAUUUCUUCCAUUAAAGUUGAGAAUGUUCUAGUCAUUCACAAAUUCAUAUAUAAUCUUUCAAAUCUUAUUUUCCCGGCAAAGUAUUAGGUACAAUAAAUAUUUAAAUAAUAAUGUUUUUCUCACAUAAUUAAUUAAAAGAAAUAUAUGUUCUUAAAAUUUGAAAAACUUUUAGCUCCACAGUAAUGAUGUGACAUAUUUAUUUUUAAAAAAAUAAAAAUAGUAAAGAUUAAAGAAAAUAAAUGUUUACCUUGUAGUUGUUAGUAUUAUUUCUCUUAACUUUUUUUGUAAGGUCUGCGCUUAUAGCAUGAAAAGCAUAAGAUGUGAUGAGAGAAUUUACGAAUAUAUUUCGUAUGACUAUGAAGAGAACAUAAAUUAUCCUGGAAAAUGAAUUCGAAAGAUGUGUUUUUGAGUUAUUUUUUCUUUAACUGUAAUGA